ACGCUGGCGGCGUGCUAAUACAUGCAAGUCGAGCGAAUCAAAGGGAGCUUGCUCCCUGAGGUUAGCGGCGGACGGGUGAGUAACACGUGGGUAACCUGCCUGUAAGAUUGGGAUAACUCCGGGAAACCGGAGCUAAUACCGGAUAACAUUUUGAACCGCAUGGUUCAAAAUUGAAAGAUGGCUUCGGCUAUCACUUACAGAUGGACCCGCGGCGCAUUAGCUAGUUGGUGAGGUAACGGCUCACCAAGGCGACGAUGCGUAGCCGACCUGAGAGGGUGAUCGGCCACACUGGGACUGAAACACGGCCCAGACUCCUACGGGAGGCAGCAGUAGGGAAUCUUCCGCAAUGGACGAAAGUCUGACGGAACAACGCCGCGUGGACGAUGAAGGCCUUCGGGUCGUAAAGUUCUGUUGUUAGGGAAGAACAAGUACCAGAGUAACUGCUGGUACCUUGACGGGACCUAACCAGAAAGCCCCGGCUAACUACCUGGCAGCAGCCCCCGGUAAUACCUAGGUUGCAAGCGUUUUCCGGAAUUAAUGGGGCGUAAACCCCUGGGGGGGGGGGUUUCUAAAUCUGAAUUGAAAACCCACGGGUCCACCCUUG
rnacentral:rRNA from 1 species